UCUUUUAUUUUCUUUUGAGCGAUUGUGCGAACAUAGCAUAGCACGCACUAUGCCUUCUGUGUUGUAGCUGCCUGGCCAGGGCGACUGGCGGAUAAGGUCUUGUGCGUGGCCUCGAGGCUUAAAAGUAGCAGUGGGGCUUUGUGAAGGACAAAAUGGCGAUGGCGGGCCGUGUAGGUCCCCCUUCCUAUGAUGAGGACCUUUUCACAGACCUGUACUGAGCUCCGUGAGGAUAAAUAACUCUGAGGAGAUGGGCCCUGCAAGCCUCUUGCUUAGCCGUCUGUUCAGAAAAUAGCGUUUUCGAAAUGCCCUGAGUUGACCUAAUGUCUUAUUGGGCUCCUGUCUGCAGGAUUUACGCGCACGUUGGAACCGAAGAGAGCUCUGUUGUUGCAAUGUUCAGCCCACAAGAGCUUACUGGUGAAGGAAUGGGACAAGACCCAUCUUUAUGCAAAGCCAGCGUUACAGUAAUGUUCCAGCAUCUCAUAAUCUAUCCUGGGGAAUUCAGCUGCCUCCCAGGGUGAAUACAGGUAUUCCUGAUGACAGUCUGCCUCUAUCUUACAGUAAGUUGUUUUUCGAAUUCUAUGGGCCUAUUAUCUAAUAGAUAACUUAGCCAUUUUGAUAUUUGUUACCAAAGCCUGCUUAACCCAUAAAGUUUUCUGGUUCCUCUUGUUCUCUGUAGUGAUGUUUCUAGAUAGAUGCCCACUGAUAUAUGCCCCUUUUUUCUCAGAUAGAUGCCCACUGAUCUGCCCAGGGUCAGACGAAUGCUUGUCAGUUGUAGCUUUCCAGGAUUCUGCUCCAAUGAGGAGGAAACAUCCUGCCUUACCCCUGUUUUAGCCUGGGAACCAGUAAUUGUGAACUCACCAGGGUUAACAUGAAGAGGGCAUGAGAGCUUAUUCCAUAAGGAAUUGUCUGAGACAUUUGGUUACCUUUUCUUAGUUUGUCCAUUAGCAACCGUAACUAAAAUAGUUUUGGCUGUUUGGGAUAAUUAGCUAAUUGAAUGAUUUUUUGAUUCAGGAGCAGCUUGUUGCUAUAUACCAUUGAAAAGCCUUCAGAGCUGAGAGGUUAGUUGAUAUUUUUUGUUCCUUACAGCUUAUGCCACCAAGUAGGCAGUUUCUAUGAUGAAUCAAACUAGCUCACUAUGACCGACAGUGAAAAUACAUGAACACCUGAGAAACUGGAGAACGCAGGGAGUGGGGGGUAACCAUGUCUGAGGAAUCUUUCACCCACAGCUUUGUUUUUCUCUAGGUACUACUAACCAAUAACCUGCUUGGCUCAAAGGGCCAGCACCUUCUCUCUAAAGCCCAAGAGGAGUUUGAGGAAAACUAGGUGUCUGUGUUCACUCCAGGCUGAAGUUACAGGUCUGAGCAAAUAAGGUGUAUAAAAAAUGGAAUCUGUCUUGGAGGACAUCAGAAGGUGAAUUUUCCAAGUUCUUGGACAACCUAGCUGUUGAAAAGCUUUCUGGGUUUGGGGGGUAUUUCAGAUGUACCUUAAAGUGUUAGCAGACACAGAUUAAGACACUGGGAGCCAAUGAAACAGCAGUUGAGGGUUUGCUGUGUAUCACAUUUCUGUAUUUUAUCACCCCCUUCCUGCAACAUUAUUUAUCUGGAAUCUACCUGCCCUUUUGUUUUUUAGAUACAAGGGCUUGGUUUUGUUACCCAGGCUGGUUUCAAGGCCAUAGCUUUAAGAGAUCCUCUCACCACAGAUUUCCAAAGUGCUGGGAUUGCAGGUGUGAUUCAUGGCACCCAGACUUUGCUGCCUUUCUUACAUGAUCCAGGCCCAGAACCCAAACUCAGGCACUGUAUAGAUGACCACUUUCGUAAACUACUGACCUAGCUUGUUGCCAAUUGUUGAUUGAACUUCCCAUAACUCCACUUCGUGUCUGUUCCUCUGUAUACAGCCACCUUCUGUUCCCGUCAUGAGCCUUUAGGUCUCCAUUUGCAUAUUGCAAAUACUAUGUUCCAUGUAGGUAGCUCAUUCAGGGCCUUGCUCUUCACUUCAAAAAAGGUUCCCUUGAGGACUGGCUGUCAAUUUGUGUUGCUGUGUUGGUUGUUGAUGAAAAUAAUAAAAUGAUUGAUUACAUA
rnacentral:lncRNA from 1 species